rnacentral:rRNA from 1 species
CGUAGGUGGCAAGCGUUGUCCGGAUUUACUGGGCGUAAAGCGCGUGUAGGUGGCUUGGAAAGUCCGGGGUGAAAUCUUGCGGCUCAACUGCAAGAGGUCCUUGGAUACUUCCAGACUUGAGGGAGGCAGAGGAAGGUGGAAUUCCCGGUGUAGUGGUGAAAUGCGUAGAUAUCGGGAGGAACACCAGUGGCGAAGGCGGCCUUCUGGGCCUUUCCUGACGCUGAGGCGCGAAAGCGUGGGUAGCAAACCGGAUUAGAUACCCGGGUAGUCCACGCCCUAAACGAUGAGCACUAGGUGUGGGGGGUAUCGACCCCCUCCGUGCCGAAGCUAACGCGAUAAGUGCUCCGCCUGGGGACUACGGCCGCAAGGCUA